rfam:Stegodyphus mimosarum contig50589, whole genome shotgun sequence.
GCCUUCGUGGUGUAGUGGUCAGCACGCUUGACGCGUAUUCGAAAGGUCCGUGGUUCGAGUCCCGGCGACGGCA